UAAAGCAGCUCCCACUAUAAAUGUGUAGGGUUCAUACGGUUAAAAAGAUUCAACAGCACUGAGCAAAUUGCAGGUCUGCUGAGAGCAAACUUGAACAUUGUGAAAAUUCUGUGCAACUUCCAGCAUGCGUUUCCUGUGCACACUGAGGCUGUACCCGCUUUAAGUUACAGUUUCAGACAGUGGUCAAGUAGGCUACUGUGGAUGAUGAUAAUGUAGACCUACCAGAGUGGCCUACCAUCAAAAACAAUGGAGAAAAUGCAUCCCAUAACAUGGAAAUAGCUGUUCUAUCAUUCAGCCUCCUCCAGUAGCAGCUGGUGCACCAACAACAAAAAAAGUGUCAAGGGAAGCCAGCUUGGAUUUGGCGUCACUCCUAUCAAAUCCCAUUAGGAGCAUACGUCAUUGAUAGAAAAAAAGUUAUGGCAAAGGUGACCACAGAUGGUGUCUAGAUCCAUGGAAGGGAUCAUUUGAUCAACAGUGUGAACGUCAAUCCCCCCUAACCGGCUGAAGCACGGCGACAAAGGCGUUAAGUUUGGUCCUGCACCCCUUCUACCAUGAGACCUGAGUCCGAGCCAGCAGCCUUUACACAGCAUCCAGUUGAAACUCUCAACUGCCUUUUCUCUCAUGCCUUUUCUCUAAGGAGUGCGACAUGAGUCCACGUGGAGUGAGCAUGGAGAGAGAUUCUGAUGUACCGGUAGGAAAAUGGACAAGACAUAAUGGACAAUGGCGGUGAGAGACAUUAUCAAGGGCCAUCCACUUUGAACAUGUGCCAUUGGAAGGACGAACUGAAAUACUAUCUGAAGAAGAACAUGAAGACAGUGCCGAGAGGGAAUGGGGGGGGGUCAACCAUGCCUGUCAGGGCUGGGCGAUAUGGCCAUAAUCUCAUAUCCCGAUGUAGGUCAUUUCAUAUCCCAAUAAUGAUACAUAUCACGAUAUCGCACAUUUAUAUAAAAUUACCACAUGUAAAGACCUGUUUCUUAUUACAUUUUUUAAUAUAUUCAACAAAUUAAAAAGGUACUUACUCAUAUUGAUUAUUUCUCCUUUUAUUUAGAACCUUUGUACAAAUUUUCAGUUAAGCAUGUAACAAAAUAACAUGGGGGGGUGGGCUUGCCUGUUUUGCAUGUUAUUUUGGCAUUUAUACAUGUCACAUCACAAUUUGCAAUUGGUACCUUGGGUCAAGUGUUAGCACCAACUCACGAAACCCCUAUUUCUCGACCGUGUAAAUUGGAGCCAUGUUUUUGCAGAUGUAAGUUGUAAUGGCAGCUGUUAUCGCCCUCCAUCUUUGCCAUAUGGUGUGCCGCGGGCAAAAGCCUCUUGCAACGUCCGAGCCGGGGGUUUGUUUUGAGCACUCGACUGUACUUUUUUGGGUCUCAUCCAUAGACUCUCUCCAUACUGUUUCACAUGAUUCUUGCGUAGGUGGUAAAAGAGGUUAGUGGUGUUUGAGCCUGUUGUUGGGACCGGUCUGCGGCAUAUUUUGCAGAGGACGGUUUUCUGGUCCAUGUCAGAUUUUUCAUACCCAAACCACGUCUAUGCUACCGAAGUAGCCCCUCUUUUAGGUACGAGCUCUGUGUCUCCGAGCUCUGUGUCACAUUUACUCUCCUCCAUGUUUGUUUGUGUUGCAAAUUUCUUUCCGCACAAAGCACGUCCAAUUGACAAAAAAACAUUGCCGUAAAGAGUGUGAUUUGCGAAACAAGUAAAUAAACGAUAGAGCAAAAUAUGAAACAAGACGUUGUUCUAUCGUCAAACGAUAUAUAUCGUCAUACCGCCCAGCCCUAGUGCCCGUAAUUGUUCAUUUGUGGGGAUCAGGUUGAUUGUGGAGGUCUGCACACUGCAGAAUUUAUAGUAAUUUAGACUAAGAAUACAUUGAGAUACCGAUCUGUUGUCAUUAACAUGCCACUCAUGACAGUUUAAGACAGGGAUAAACGGGGGCUGUAAUGAGAAAGGUUAAUAUUGGUAAUAAGUAGUACAAACCAAACAGUUGAGGUCUGAAGUUUACAUACACUUACGAUGGAGUAAUUAAAACUUGUUUUUCAACCACUCCACAAAUUUCUUGUUCACAAACUAUAGUUUGGGCAAGUCGGUAAGUCAUUUUUCCCAACAAUUGUUUACAGACAGACUAUUUCACUUAGAAUUCACUGUAUCACAAUUCCAGUGGGUCAGAAGUUUACAUACACUAAGUUGAAGCCACUGCUCCAAAACAGCCAUAAAAAAAGCCAGACUACGGUUUGCAACUGCACAUGGGGACAAAGAUCAUACUUUUUGGAGAAAUGUCCUCUGGUCUGAUGAAACAAAAAUAGAACUGUUUGGCCAUAAUGACCAUUGUUAUGUUUGGAGGAAAAAGGGGGAGGCUUGCAAGCCGAAGAACAUCAUUCCAACCGUGAAGCACAGGGGUGGCAGCAUCAUGUUGUGGAGGUGCUUUGCUGUAGGAGGGACUGGUGCACUUCACAAAAUAGAUGGCAUCAUGAGGAGGAAAAUGAUGUGGCUAUAUUGAAGCAUCAUCUCAAGACAUCAGUCAGGAAGUUAAAGCUUGGUCGCAAAUGGGUCUUCCAAAUGGCAAUGACCCCAAGCAUACUUCCAAAGUUGCGGCAAAAUGGCUUAAGGAUAACAAAGUCAAGGUAUUGGAGUGGCCAUCACAAAGCCCUGACCUCAAUCCUAUAGAGAAUUUGUGGGCAGAACUGAAAAAGCGUGUGAGAGCAAGAAGGCCUACAAGCCUGACUCAGUUACACCAGCUCUGUCGGGAGGAAUGGGCCAAAAUUCACCCAACUUAUUGUGGGAAGCUUGUGGAAGGCUACCCGUAACAUUUGACCCAAGUUAAACAAUUUAAAGGCAAUGCUACCAAAUACUAAUUGAGUGUAUGCAAACUUCUGACCGACUGGGAAUGAGAUAAAAGAAGUAAAAGCUGAAAUAAAAUCAUUCUCUCAACUAUUA